rnacentral:rRNA from 1 species
ACAUAACUGAUGCCUCCGCGUAUCGACUUUGUGCGCAUUUUAGCUAUUAUGUGUUCUUUUAAUUAAAAUGAUUCUUUUUAAGAUUCAUCUAUUAAAAAUUUGCUUCGGCAUAAUUUUUUUUGAUGAUCUUGUUACUUUGAGUAAAUUAGAGUGUUCAAAGCAAACAGAUAUAGCAUUUGUGCGUUUGAAUACUACAGCAUGGAAUAACAAAAUUGAACAAGUCAGAAUUUUUUUGUUCUUUUUUCUUAUUUUGGCUUAGUUACGAUUAAUAGGAGUAGCUUGGGGGCAUUUGUAUUCAGAUGUCAGAGGUGAAAUUCUUAGAUUUUCUGGAGACAAACAACUGCGAAAGCAUUUGCCUAAAAUACUUCCAUUAAUCAAGAACGAAAGUUAAGGGAGUGAAGACGAUCAGAUACCGUCGUAAUCUUAACCAUAAACUAUGCCGACUAGGCUUUGGAUGAAAGAUUUUAAAAUAAGAGUUUUUCUUUUCUCUCCGGAGAUUAGAACUCUUAGAUUGCUUCCUUCAGUGCCUUAUGAGAAAUCAAAGUCUUUGGGUUCUGGGGCGAGUAUUCGCGCAAGCGAGAAAGUUAAAAGAAUUGACGGAAGGGCACCACCAGGCGUGGAGCUUGCGGCUUAAUUUGACUCAACACGGGAAAACUCACUAGUUUAAGACAAGAGUAGGAUUGACAGAUUAAUAGCUCUUUCUUGAUUUCUUGGAUGGUGAUGCAUGGCCGUUUUUAGUUCGUGAAUAUGAUUUGUCUGGUUAAUUCCGAUAACGAACGAGAUCUUAACCUGCUAAUUAGCGGCAAAUACGAUAUAUUCUUAUGUAGAAUUGAAUAUAGUGGAUUUGUUAGAUUUUGAAGAAAAUAUUGGAAUUACGUUAAAUGUGAUUCCUUUCCCUUUUCUACUUAAUUUGCAUUUCCAUCUAUUUCUUUUUUGCGUAUGAAUGUAUUUGCUUGAUUGUAAAGCUUCUUAGAGGAACGAUGUGUG